AGUGAACGCUGGCGGUAGGCCUAACACAUGCAAGUCGAACGGCAGCACGGUAAGAUCUUGCUCUUACGGGUGGCGAGUGGCGGACGGGUGAGGAAUACAUCGGAAUCUACUUUUUCGUGGGUGAUAACGUAGGGAAACUUACGCUAAUACCGCAUACGACCUACGGGUGAAAGCAGGGGAUCUUCGGACCUUUCGCGAUUGAAUGAGCCGAUGUCGGAUUAGCUAGUUGGCGGGGUAAAGGCCCACCAAGGCGACGAUCCGUAGCUGGUCUGAGAGGAUGAUCAGCCACACUGGAACUGAGACACGGUCCAGACUCCUACGGGAGGCAGCAGUGGGGAAUAUUGGACAAUGGGCGCAAGCCUGAUCCAGCCAUACCGCGUGGGUGAAGAAGGCCUUCGGGUUGUAAAGCCCUGUUGUUGGGAAAGAAAAGCAGCAGGUUAAUACCCCGCUGUUCUGACGGUACCCAAAGAAUAAGCACCGGCUAACUUCGUG
rnacentral:rRNA from 1 species